GAUGAACGCUGGCGGCGUGCCUAAUACAUGCAAGUCGAGCGAACAGACGAGGAGCUUGCUCCUCUGACGUUAGCGGCGGACGGGUGAGUAACACGUGGAUAACCUACCUAUAAGACUGGGAUAACUUCGGGAAACCGGAGCUAAUACCGGAUAAUAUAUUGAACCGCAUGGUUCAAUAGUGAAAGACGGUUUUGCUGUCACUUAUAGAUGGAUCCGCGCCGCAUUAGCUAGUUGGUAAGGUAACGGCUUACCAAGGCAACGAUGCGUAGCCGACCUGAGAGGGUGAUCGGCCACACUGGAACUGAGAAACGGUCCAGACUCCUACGGGAGGAAGCAGUAGGGAAUCUUCCGCAAUGGGCGAAAGACUGACGGAGCAACGCCGCGUGAGUGAUGAAGGUCUUCGGAUCGUAAAACUCUGUUAUUAGGGAAGAACAAAUGUGUAAGUAACUAUGCACGUCUUGACGGUACCUAAUCAGAAAGCCACGGCUAACUACGUG
rnacentral:rRNA from 1 species